UACGUAGGGUGCGAGCGUUGUCCGGAAUUACUGGGCGUAAAGAGCUCGUAGGUGGUUUGUCGCGUUGUUCGUGAAAACUCACAGCUCAACUGUGGGCGUGCGGGCGAUACGGGCAGACUGGAGUACUGCAGGGGAGACUGGAAUUCCUGGUGUAGCGGUGAAAAUGCGCAGAUAUCAGGAGGAACACCGGUGGCGAAGGCGGGUCUCUGGGCCGAUACUGACGCUGAGGAGCGAAAGCGUGGGGAGCGAACAGG
rnacentral:rRNA from 1 species